AUUGAACGCUGGCGGCAGGCUUAACACAUGCAAGUCGAGCGGGGAAGAGUAGCUUGCUACUUAACCUAGCGGCGGACGGGUGAGUAAUGCUUAGGAAUCUGCCUAUUAGUGGGGGACAACAUCUCGAAAGGGAUGCUAAUACCGCAUACGUCCUACGGGAGAAAGCAGGGGACCUUCGGGCCUUGCGCUAAUAGAUGAGCCUAAGUCGGAUUAGCUAGUUGGUGGGGUAAAGGCCUACCAAGGCGACGAUCUGUAGCGGGUCUGAGAGGAUGAUCCGCCACACUGGGACUGAGACACGGCCCAGACUCCUACGGGAGGCAGCAGUGGGGAAUAUUGGACAAUGGGGGGAACCCUGAUCCAGCCAUGCCGCGUGUGUGAAGAAGGCCUUUUGGUUGUAAAGCACUUUAAGCGAGGAGGAGGCUACCGAGAUUAAUACUCUUGGAUAGUGGACGUUACUCGCAGAAUAAGCACCGGCUAACUCUGUGCCAGCCGCCGCCGUAAUAC
rnacentral:rRNA from 1 species